rnacentral:lncRNA from 1 species
UGGAUAUUUUAGGUUUUUUUAUAGGCUCCAAAGUUCUAACUGCUUUUUCACUCUGUGCUUUGUGGCACUGCUGGGAGAUGUUCCUGCCAAAGCUGCCAAGGGUCUGAUGGAAGGGGGCCUGGCCCGGGAAGGCUCCCCGAAGUUGCUCUGAGCGAUCCUGGAUGCUGCAUGGCUUCAGUCCCUGAGGCCUCCCUGGCCACUAAGAGGAAACAAACCACUGCCAGGACAUGCCAAAGGCAUCCUACUGCCAGCAACUGGGACUCUCCUCCUUCCCAAAAGCAUCAAGGAGGGGUUAUGGAAAUUGAUGUGCCCGGGAGCAGCCCUCAGCCGAUGACAAAUGGUUGGAGAUAGCUAUCCCAGCUCCCUCAGCUUGCAGGUGGGACAAACGUGAAAUGAGUUUCCUGUUGUCUCCUGGAUGUUGUGGUAGGACUGAGCCCCAGAUGCCCACAACAGUAGCCCCCUCAUCACCAUACCAUGUGUCAGCUUCCUCCUCCGUCUCCCCUCUCUACUCUUCCAGCGCUGCUUCCUGGAUUCCAUUCCCUAUCAAAACCUCUUGCGCUUAGAUCUUAGACUCGGGGCUUGCUUCUGCAGGUGCCCAGCCUAAGCAGGACAUGAGUCUUGCACACCUUCUUCUUUUCCUUCCCUGGCAUCUGAUCUAACUAAGCUGCCAGUUCAGUUCUGGACUCGG